GAAGCCGGAAUUGCUAGUAAUGGCAGGUCAGCAUACUGCCGUGAAUACGUUCCCGGGCCUUGUACACACCGCCCGUCACACCAUGAGAGUUGGGGAUACCCGAAGCCUGUGAGCUAACUAUUUAUAGGAGCAGCGGUCGAAGGUAGAAUCAAUGAUUGGGGUGAAGUCGUAACAAGGUAAC
rnacentral:rRNA from 1 species